GCCUCGUUUCCGAAUAGUCACCGUAUGGUGCGCGUUCCCCGCAAUCGCGGGGAUAGGGAACGGGGCCGCU
rnacentral:sRNA from 12 species